AUACUCUGGUUUCUCUUCAAAUCGUAUAAAUCUUUCGCCUUUUACUAAAGAUUUCCGUGGAGGGGAACAAGCACGAGUGUCAGGGAAUUUUUUGAGGCUCCAUUUCGGUGGAGCU
ensembl:snRNA U5 U5 spliceosomal RNA